rnacentral:rRNA from 1 species
UACGAAGGGGGGCUAGCGUUGUUCGGAAUUACUGGGCGUAAAGGGCGUGUAGGCGGGAAGGCAAGUCGGGCGUGAAAGCCCCCAGGCUCAACCUGGGAACUGCACUCGAAACUGCCUUUCUUGAGUGCCGGAGAGGAAAGCGGAAUUCCUGGUGUAGAGGUGAGAUUCGUAGAUAUCAGGAGGAACACCAGUGGCGAAGGCGGCUUUCUGGACGGUAACUGGACGCUGAGACGCGAAAGCGUGGGGAGCAAACAGG